GCCCGGUGUUGGGCUCCUGCUGAGUGUGGAGACUGCUAAAAAAUAAUAAAAUGAAAUAAUAAUAAUAUAAAAUAGAGCUGAGGUCAGCUACACCCUAGAAUCACCCUAGAGAAUAAUAUGGUUAGAAAGCCAAAGGAAUAAGCAAUAGGGGUGAAGUAGAGGAGAUAACCAUCUCUGUAUUUCAUAUUAAAAUGCCACCAUAGUUUGCAGUAUGACGAAUCAUAAAGAAGUUCCAGAAUUUAUGCUAUCUUUUCCUCUUUUUCUAAGAAAAAGACACCUUGGUGAAGAGUACGGAUUCUGGAGUCAGAAUGCCUGGCUUCAAAUUCCAGUUGUGCGAACUCAGCCAGUUUAGUUUAGCAAUCUCUCAGUACCUAGGUUUCACUUAUAAAAUGGGGAUGACCUCACAGCACUGCUGUGACAAUUAAAUGGGUCGAUACAGGUAAAGCCCUUAGAAGUGUGCCUGGUUUACAGUAAACAUUAGAUGAACAUUAGCUGUUAUCUUAUUUUGGCUCUACAACAGUCCCCUCUUAUGCGUGAUUUCACUUUCAGGGUUUCAGUUACCAGUGCCAAAGGCAGGCAGGAAACGGAUCACCCUGAUUUAUGGCCACAAGGUCAAUAGCAGCCUAAGGCUACCUCACCAUGCCUCUGUCAGUCACUGUCUUCAUCUCAUCAUGUAGGCAGUUUCUCAUCUCACAUCAUCGCAGGAAGGGAUGGUGCGGGAACUCCCUGGAGCCUGACAGCCACUGUGUCUUUAUCUCCAGCACCCAAAACCACAGCACACAGCAGGCGGCUCAGCGAGGCUUUGAUGAGUAAAUGAAGAGUCCCCUUGUAGGAAGGGGACUUGAUGGGAGGCUGAACGCAAGCCACAUGGUGCCGCUGGCUGCGUGCACCGCCUCUGGCCGGGGGAGAGGAGAGGUCGCUGCAGCCGCACGCUGGCCGCAGCGGGGGACUCGCUUCUUUUUCCUCUGCGUGCGCCUAACUUGGCUAAACAGAAAAAGAACCCGCCGUUGCCAACCACAACACAACAAAGGACCCCAGAAGAUCGCCCGCCCUUUUUCUUUCCACCUUGAGGAACGUUUAGUCAGGAGUCCCAGACCACCUGCAGAUUCCAUUUCCAGCAGGAAUUAAAAAUCAGCUCUGUCGUUACCAACUGGGUAACCUUAAUCAAGUUCCUAGUACUUUGAGCCUCAGUCUGUGCAUCUGGAAAAUUGGGUAAUCCUCCUUAUUACCCCCUUCAAACUGGCUAACACUGAUUGAGAACUUGAUAUAUGCCAGACACUAAGCGUGUGGCAUGUGUAAUCUCAUUUAUUGCCCCCAGCAACUCUAGGGAGUAGGCUGUUGUUAUCAUCUGUAUUCCAUAGAUAAGGACAUUGAGGCAGGGAAUGGGACAUAACCUGCCUGAGGUCACCCAGCUGCCCGCUUGGGAUGACCCAGCUACCAAGGUCUCACAGUGUGACCACAGAACGCGUGUCCUUAAGCAUUAAGCGAUGGUGCUAGUUCACAAGGUGGUUGCCAGGAUCUAAUCAUGUGAUACAUGAAAAGAACUUUGUAAACUUUAAAAUGCUAAGCAAACCUGAGAAGAAGCCACCAUUAUUAAUAUUGACAUUACUUUCUUUCAUUCCUGGGGCACCUGGGUGGCUCAGUUGACUUUUACUUGGGCUCAGGUCAUGAUCUUGCCGUUCACGA